GGGGAUGUGGCUCAAGCAGUAGCGCGCUCACCUGGCAUGUGUGUGACCUGGGUUCGAUCCUCAGCACCACA
rnacentral:tRNA from 1 species